CAAGAAGUAACAACUUACACUAAGACUAAGAAAGGGAAGUUGAUUGAAAACUUAAAUCUUUUCUUCUUAAAGUCUUAGCAAGUUUCUCUCUAACUAAAUACAUCUUACUUUGUUUUGUAGGUCAUUAAUAAGGCUUGCCAAACACUUAGAAGAAUUGCCAAGCAAAGGAUACAAGAGGAGNCUUGUUCACGGUCAACACUUCAUUUAGCAACAUGUUUCCUACAUGGAUACACCAGCUGNCAACACCUUUUCCACGUGCAACAAAGGAGCUGGACGAAACUCACAUGUGGAGCACNAUUUCAUUGCAUUUUUCACGUGUUCAAUUGAUAGCUUAGCUAGCACACUUCACGUGUAACAUGAGUAGCUUCCCAUGCACAUUUCAGAACCUCUCUUCAUCUAUAAAAGAGAGGAUUCAAUCCUUUGUAAAGGCAACUUGAAUGAUAGUAAUGAGAUGCUGCUGAAUUUCAGCCGUUCUUCUUCAAGUUCAAACUGUGCUAGCUUUAGCUUUGCAUCCUCUAGCUUCUUUCCCCUAUGGAAAGCCUUCUNAGCUAGAAUUCCUCACUGCAUCAUCUCCAAACACGUUCACACCUUUUAUCAAACACCUUGCUCGCACUCCAUCCGCUACAUUCAAUCUCCAUUCCGCUGCCAACUCUGGUCCGAGGAGCCACUCCUUCUUGAAGAUUGGAGUCGCUUCUAUCAAUUGGUAUCAAGAGUGGUGCUGCAAUUUCUAACUCCCAGAUGGUUUCUCCAAAGGGGUAGCAUACUAAGGAGUGGAAGCAUUGUUAAAGUAAGCACAAGUUGGGACUUUGAGAGUACCUAAAACACAACUGUCCAGCAACCUGUUUCAGCAGCAAAAAUAUAUCAAAAUUUGGUAUUCCAGCAUCUUAAAACAGCAGCCACACUUGGCUUUCUCAUUUGCACACACUUUUCAUUGUAUUUGUGACUUGGUAUCACGGAACUUUGUGUUAAUUUGUUUCCUUUCCAUUUGCAAAUUAAAGUGGCUUGGAAAAAUGCUUUUCUAGCAAUUCCAAGUACACAAUCAAACAUUGUAAUAGCUUAGUUUCCACAUCUUAGUGUGAAAGUGUGUCAAGGGGCUCAAAGUGUCACGUGCACUUUCACUUAGGGCCGUGUUUCUUCUUCCAUUCA